rnacentral:rRNA from 1 species
CCUACGGGAGGCAGCAGUGAGGAAUAUUGGUCAAUGGGCGGAAGCCUGAACCAGCCAAGCAGCGUGCAGGACGACGGCCCUACGGGUUGUAAACUGCUUUUAUACGGGAACAAAGCCCCUUACGUGAAGGUCUCUGCAUGUACUGUAUGAAUAAGGACCGGCUAAUUCCGUGCCAUCAGCCGCGGGAAUACGGAAGGUGCGGGCGUUAUCCGGAUUUAUUGGGUUUAAAGGGUGCGUAGGCGGUGCGUUAAGUUAGCGGUGAAAUCCCGGGGCUCAACUCCGGCACUGCCAGUGAUACUGUCUGGCUAGAGAUGAAUAGCGGUAGGCGGAAUGUAUGGUGUAGCGGUGAAAUGCGUAGAGAUCAUGCAGAACACCGAUUGCGAAGGCAGCUUACC